GAUGAACGCUAGCGGGAGGCCUAACACAUGCAAGCCGAGCGGUAGAGUCUCUUCGGAGACUUGAGAGCGGCGCACGGGUGCGGAACACGUGUGCAACCUGCCUUUAUCUGGGGGAUAGCCUUUCGAAGGGAAGAUUAAUACCCCAUAAUAUACUGGAUGGCAUCAUCUGGCAUUGAAAACUCCGGUGGAUAGAGAUGGGCACGCGCAAGAUUAGAUAGUUGGUGAGGUAACGGCUCACCAAGUCAGCGAUCUUUAGGGGGCCUGAGAGGGUGAUCCCCCACACUGGUACUGAGACACGGACCAGACUCCUACGGGAGGCAGCAGUGAGGAAUAUUGGACAAUGGGUGAGAGCCUGAUCCAGCCAUCCCGCGUGAAGGACGACGGCCCUAUGGGUUGUAAACUUCUUUUGUAUAGGGAUAAACCUAGAUACGUGUAUCUAGCUGAAGGUACUAUACGAAUAAGCACCGGCUAACUCCGUG
rnacentral:rRNA from 1 species